AUCCAUUGGAGGGCAAGUCUGGUGCCAGCAGCCGCGGUAAUUCCAGCUCCAAUAGCGUAUAUUUAAGUUGCUGCAGUUAAAAAGCUCGUAGUUGGAUUUCGGAUGGGAUUUGCCGGUCCGCCGUUUCGGUGUGCACUGGCCAGUCCCAUCUUGUUGUCGGGGACUAGCUCNUGGGCUUCACUGUCCGGGACUAGGAGCUGACGAGGUUACUUUGAGUAAAUUAGAGUGUUCAAAGCAAGCCUACGCUCUGAAUACAUUAGCAUGGAAUAACAUGAUAGGACUCUGGCUUAUCUUGUUGGUCUGUGAGACCAGAGUAAUGAUUAAGAGGGACAGUCGGGGGCAUUCGUAUUUCAUUGUCAGAGGUGAAAUUCUUGGAUUUAUGAAAGACGAACUUCUGCGAAAGCAUUUGUCAAGGAUGUUUUCAUUAAUCAAGAACGAAAGUUGGGGGCUCGAAGACGA
rnacentral:rRNA from 1 species